rnacentral:tRNA from 1 species
GUGACACUAGCUCACCCGGAUAGAGCAGCUGCCUUCUAAGCAGCAGGUAGGGGGUUCGAGUCCCUCGUGUCACG